GGGAAUGUGGUUCAGUGGUAGAAUGCUUGCCUAGCAUGCAUGUAGCCCCAGGUUCGAUUCCGCAGUACCA
rnacentral:tRNA from 1 species